rnacentral:rRNA from 1 species
AACGAACGCUGGCGGCAGGCUUAACACAUGCAAGUCGAGCGCCCCGCAAGGGGAGCGGCAGACGGGUGAGUAACGCGUGGGAACGUACCCUUAUCGUCGGGAUAGCUCCGGGAAACUGGAAUUAAUACCGAAUGUGCCCUUUGGGGGAAAGAGUUAUCGGACAAGGAUCGGCCCGCGUUGGAUUAGCUAGUUGGUGGGGUAAAGGCCUACCAAGGCGACGAUCCAUAGCUGGUCUGGGAGGAUGAGCCGCCACAUUGGGACUGAGACACGGCCCAAACCCCUACGGGAGGGAGCAGUAGGGAAUAUUGGACAAUGGGCGCAAGCGUGAUCCCGCCAUGCCGCGGGAGUGAUGAAGGCGUUAGGAUUGUAAAGCCCUUUCAGCGGAGAAGAUAAUGACGGUAUCCGGAGAAGAAGCCCCGGCUAACUUCGUG